rnacentral:lncRNA from 1 species
CUGAUUGUCCCUUUUGUCAAUGUUGGAAAUACACUCAGUUUUGAUGCCUUCUUCAUUGUUUUUAGCACUUGAAACUUGAAAGUGAUAAAAAAGCCCUUAACAUGAUAGGACUACAAUGGGCAAUAGCAGCAGUGGCGAAUCCAAUAACAUUCUAACUUCUAAGCUAAAUGCCUAAAUCACAUAUAUGUAUUUUGAAAUAAAGCCCCAUAAUUUUAUGAGUUGUUAUUUAAAUGGAAAGCAAUUAAUUCCCACAUGAAAGUAGGAAUCCUUUCGGCUUUCGGAAUAAAGCACAGAAAUCACCAGCGAAUUAUCCUAAAUUACAACUUAUUCGUAGAUCCCUCCAUCCCGUAAUAGCCUCUAACAGAUGGUGUUUAUGCUCUAAUAGUGUAGUUCCUGAUUUUUGAAGUAACGACUAAUAAAUAAGUGAUUCAACUUUAAGAUGAGAAAUUGAGAAUUGCUCUCCCUUCUCCGAUUCAGACAUCCAGUUCAAAACUCAAAACCCAUAUCCUCAAAUUUACAAAUUAAUAUCAUUGUAUCAAGUUAGACAUUAAAUUUAGGACCGAAUACUGACACUGUGCCGAGAAGGAAUUGGGGAACUGGGGAAGAACAGGAACUCACAAGUCACAAUUCACAAAGGGUUUGCUAAUUGCUUAACCUCAAAACCGGUAGUUUGACACGAGAAGGAAAGCUUUCUGGCUGCGGUGCGGAGACUGAGUGCAGGCUGCCUGCUGGACGCUUGGACUAGAGUGCUGCUCGACGCUCGCCUGCUCCUUUCGACUCUCACUGUGGCAGUAUCGUCUGCUGGCUGCUGCAACCUAAGAGCGUCUGCCCUUUGCGAUAGUGGAGGUAGUUGCCAGACGGGUAAAGGUAGACGGGUGCGUGCAGGCAUGCGUGGUGCCGAUUUAGGGAAAAAUCUGGGGCUCUAUCUCUGAGUCGCUGGGUUGAACUUGUUGGGUAUAUCAAUAUGGAGAAAGCUCAUUUGGGCUUCUGUAAUUGGGCCUGAUUUAAAAAAAAUAGAGGCCCAACACCCAACUGACCCAAGCCAACAGCCAAAGCAACUGAACGACGGUAGAUGGACCAAAUCUGAAAAUAAACCAACCACUCCUUCCCGGCGGUGGCGGUUCCAGCGAAGCCAGCUAGGGCAGCCGCCCUAGC